rnacentral:lncRNA from 1 species
GUUUUGCGUGUGGCUCACCUGAGGUUCAAGUGUGGUUCAAGCUUUGAACAUGGGUGCUUCCCAUGUCGUCCAGAUGUGGUUGAAGGAUGCCUCACAUGUGCUCAAUCACGGUUUAGUUGUGGCUCACAUAUGGUUCAGAUGUAAUUCAGGCAUGGCUCACACAUGAGUUGUGUGGGUCACAAAUGCUACAGGAGCCUUUCACACAUGAUUUAGGCAUGGCUCACACAUGGUUCAGGUGCAGAUUAGCCAAGGCACACACAUGAUGCAGGCACGCCACAGAACUGGGUCAUGUGUGACUGACACAUGAUUCAGGCGUUUGUCAUGCAUGGCUCACACAUGGCUGAGGUGUGGCUCAUGCAUGGCUGUGGUGCUGCUCAGGCGUGGCUCACACUUGUUUGUGGCAUGGUUGGCAUGUGGUUCAGGCAUUGCAGGCAGCUGGCUCCAGAGUGGCUGACACGUGCUUCAAGUGAGGCGGACGUGUGUUUGAAUUGGGACUGGCACAUGGUUCAGUCGUGGCUGGCAUGUGACUUCGGCAUGGUUGAGAUGAGACUCAGACGUGGCUCACACAUUUUUCAGGCAUGACUGACACAUGACUCAGGUGAGGCAGCCACAUGACACAGGCGUGCCUGUCACAUCACCCAGCAGUGGCUCACACCUGCUUCAUGCACGUCCUUCAUGAGUCUCAGGGGUGGCUCUUGUGUGGUUUACGCAUGGGUGCCACGUGUUUCAGGUGUGGCUGGCACAUGACGCAGGUAUGGCUGAUACAUGACUCAGGCGUUCUUCGCACAUUAUCAGUGCCUGGCUGACCUGUGCUUCAUACAUGGGUUACAUGUCAUUAAUUUGUGGCACACAUGUGACUCACUCUCUGCUGGCAAAUGGCUCCCACGUACUCAGACGUGCCUGGCACAUGGCUCACGCAUGACCCGGCCAUUUUUCAAGAGUGGCUCCCUUGUGCUUCACGUGUCAUUCAGGAAUUGAAGAUGCAUGCUUCACAUGGGUAUCUCUUGUGGUUCUAGUGUGUCUCAUGUGGUUCAGUCAUGGUUCAGGUGUGGCUCCCAAAUGGUUCAGAUGUAACCCAGGUGUGGCUAACACAUGGCUCAUGGUGUGUCCCAUAUGGUUGAGGAGUGUUUCAGUCAUUAUUCAGGCAUGGCUCACACGUGGUGCAGGCAUGGCUCAGCCAUGGCUCACAUGGAGUUCAGGCGAGCCUCAGACCAGGGCCAGGUGUGGCUGACACAUGAUUCAGGAGUUUGUCACACAUGGCUAACACACGUCUCAGGGG